GUGUCAGCAGCCGCGGUAAUACGUAGGUGGCAAGCGUUGUCCGGAAUUAUUGGGCGUAAAGGGCUCGCAGGCGGUUCCUUAAGUCUGAUGUGAAAGCCCCCGGCUCAACCGGGGAGGGUCAUUGGAAACUGGGGAACUUGAGUGCAGAAGAGGAGAGUGGAAUUCCACGUGUAGCGGUGAAAUGCGUAGAGAUGUGGAGGAACACCAGUGGCGAAGGCGACUCUCUGGUCUGUAACUGACGCUGAGGAGCGAAAGCGUGGGGAGCGAACAGG
rnacentral:rRNA from 1 species